ACCCGGGCGGCGCGGGCGGCGCCGCCGUUCCGCGCGGUGCCGCCGGUCCGGACGGUGCCACCGUUCCGCGCGGCCCGGAGUACC
rnacentral:tRNA from 1 species